GCUGUCUUUCACUGGAUCAUUUCUUUCACCCUGUGGACCAUGAGGCUGCACAAAUGCUUGAGCUGACACCAGCAAAAGGGCAGGUUCAGCUAAUGAGUGACUCAGCCUUACAUAAGAAAAGUCUGGAUGGGGCAUAAUAAAUGAGAGCUGACUGUGGCCAUGCUCAGCACUUCUAAGGAUCAGGCCUGCACAAGUCACCUCAAAUUAAAAUUCCUUGUCUGAAAGCAGCUCUGGAAAGUCAAUGGCAAACGAAUCUGUUAUGAAGAAUAUAAACACCUGGCAACAAACGUAGACAAGAGAGGGUAGCAGUGAAAUGCAAAGCGCCAUUCAGAGGAUCCUGCAACAGGCUUCACUCUUGGUUUCUGCUUGCUUUCUCUCUCUGAAGAGCAGAUGAAAAUGUAUCUAGUGAAAUGAGGUUCCUAGAAAGAAGCUCAAGUUCCAGAUGGCUGAUACCAUGCAAGCACCAGCUGUGAGGAGGUAAAAAAGUCUGCUUUUAAAAAGAAAUAGGCAAUGCCAACCUACUAUUGCUGCACUUAGGGGUUGUAUCUCUGCUGCACUCAACUGGCCUUAAGGGCCAUACAUGUCCAGGGUCUGCACAUAGCCCCUGGUAUGAGUAUUCUCCUCCUGCUUGCCACUAGAGCAUCUAGCGCACACCAAAAGAAAUGUUAUUUUUUUUAUACGUUGAGACCUUUGUCAAGCAAUACCAAGGAGCAGCCAGUAGUCACCUGGGCACUGGAAACAUUUUCCAUGACACCAAGAGCUCACAACUCUACGAGAGAAUGCAUGGCGGUUUCUAGAAGGAAUGUUAUACAGCAGGGAUACUUUGUAUGGCCACCAGAAUGAUCACUGGUAUGAACCAACUGGUGGGGAAAUACUUCUUGCACUCACAUAAGCAGGAAAACUGUUGCAGCUUGGAAAAUAAAAACUCUGAUUUAUGAGCA
rnacentral:lncRNA from 1 species